UACGUGGGGCGCAAGCGUUGUCCGGAAUCACUGGGCGUAAAGGGUGCGUAGGCGGGUCUUUAAGUCAGGGGUGAAAUCCUGGAGCUCAACUCCAGAACUGCCUUUGAUACUGAGGAUCUUGAGUUCGGGAGAGGUGAGUGGAACUGCGAGUGUAGAGGUGAAAUUCGUAGAUAUUCGCAAGAACACCAGUGGCGAAGGCGGCUCACUGGCCCGAUACUGACGCUGAGGCACGAAAGCGUGGGGAGCAAACAGG
rnacentral:rRNA from 1 species